GUCUUUCACGUACAGCAUAGUCUUUCUUUUAUGGAGCUACGUUGAAUACAGCUCAUCAGUGAACCCUGCCCAUAACUCGCUGCUGAACGUCUCUCUGCUCAGUGAUAAAGUGAACUUAUUUCUCCAUUUUUCCUUUGAAUCUCAGGCAUUUUCUCAGUAUCCAUGUGUGUUCCAACUAGAACUUCCCAAAACUUCCACAGUUAAACCAGACUGAUGUACAGCUGCUUUGUUCUAAUAAUACUCUAGCUUUCCUGGCUGAGAAACAGUUCCCAAACUAGACGUGAUAGUCUAUGAAGUCUAACAUGGAGCGAUGUACCACCUCUGGGAAGGACAUCUUUCACAGUCCUGCUUCUUUGCAACCUCAUUGGCACCGAAAGGUAGCAUGAAAUGGAGCCAGGAUGACAGGGCCCCAUCUGAGCCAUGCCCAGCUCCCCCAGUCUGCACAAACCCACUCUAUCAAUCACGAGGGUGUCUGAUGCUGAAUUGUGCUUGUAGAGAACAGCAUGAAUUCUCAAGGUAUUGUGCAAACCACAAAGGCUGGGAUCAAGUUUCCUCUCACAGUGUAUUUACAGAGCAUGCCUGCCAUUGUCAGACUUGUCAACACUCAUGGUCUCUUUGCUUUUUACCCUAUGCUUAUCCCAUCUCUUCUUUCAUUAAAAAAUGUGAAUGCUUCUGUCCUUGUGGAUUUGUAAAGGGAAAAUAUAAUCCCCAAAGGCUUAGAAACCAGACAGCAAAUUAA
rnacentral:lncRNA from 1 species